rnacentral:rRNA from 1 species
UGGUGGAGUGAUUUGUCUGGUUAAUUCCGUUAACGAACGAGACCUCGACCUGCUAAAUAGUGGGUUGAACUCUUUGGGUUUGAGCUUACUUCUUAGAGGGACUAUCGGUGUAUAGCCGAUGGAAGUUCGAGGCAAUAACA